rnacentral:rRNA from 2 species
GUUAUCGUUUAUUUGAUAGUACCUUACUACUUGGAUAACCGUGGUAAUUCUAGAGCUAAUACAUGCUGAAAACCCUGACUUCGGAAAGGGUGUAUUUAUUAGAUAAAAAACCAAUGCCCUUUGGGCUCUUUGGUGAUUCAUGAUAACUUAACGGAUCGCAUGGCCUUGCGCCGGCGACGGUUCAUUCAAAUUUCUGCCCUAUCAACUUUCGAUGGUAAGGUAUUGGCUUACCAUGGUUUCAACGGGUAACGGGGAAUUAGGGUUCGAUUCCGGAGAGGGAGCCUGAGAAACGGCUACCACAUCCAAGGAAGGCAGCAGGCGCGCAAAUUACCCAAUCCCGACACGGGGAGGUAGUGACAAUAAAUACUGAUACAGGGCUCUUUUGGGUCUUGUAAUCGGAAUGAGUACAAUUUAAACCUCUUAACGAGGAACAAUUGGAGGGCAAGUCUGGUGCCAGCAGCCGCGGUAAUUCCAGCUCCAAUAGCGUAUAUUAAAGUUGUUGCAGUUAAAAAGCUCGUAGUUGAAUCUUGGGCCUGGCUGGCCGGUCCGCCUCACCGCGUGUACUGGUCUGGCCGGGCCUUUCCUUCUGGAGAACCUCAUGCCCUUCAGUGGGUGUGUUGGGGAACCAGGACUUUUACUUUGAAAAAAUUAGAGUGUUCAAAGCAGGCCUUUGCUCGAAUACGUUAGCAUGGAAUAAUAGAAUAGGACGUGCGGUCCUAUUUUGUUGGUUUCUAGGACCGCCGUAAUGAUUAAUAGGGAUAGUCGGGGGCAUCAGUAUUCAAUUGUCAGAGGUGAAAUUCUUGGAUUUAUUGAAGACUAACUACUGCGAAAGCAUUUGCCAAGGAUGUUUUCAUUAAUCAGUGAACGAAAGUUAGGGGAUCGAAGACGAUCAGAUACCGUCGUAGUCUUAACCGUAAACUAUGCCGACUAGGGAUCGGGCG